AACGGCUAAUACCGGAUAAUAUAUUGAACCGCAUGGUUCAAUAGUGAAAGACGGUUUUGCUGUCACUUAUAGAUGGAUCCGCGCCGCAUUAGCUAGUUGGUAAGGUAACGGCUUACCAAGGCAACGAUGCGUAGCCGACCUGAGAGGGUGAUCGGCCACACUGGAACUGAGACACGGUCCAG
rnacentral:rRNA from 1 species